UGGGCACAAAGGUGGGGGUGAUUUUUAAAGUUGAAGAUCGUAAAUUCCAGCGAUAGAGUUACUAACAAUGGUAAUGGCGGUGCAGGUUUGCUUUCCUUACUGUGCAUUUCUAAAAAUAUAUCAAGUUAUCGUUCAACAAGUUUGAUACUCACGAGGCAUUUUAAUAAAACAUUUCUAAGAAAUCCGAAUUCACCGUGAGCGGUAACCCUAUAUUUGGGCGAUUUAUCGACAGCCAGACAUAAAGACCGUGAAACAACAAAACAUGCAACAUAAAAGGAACUUCCUAAACUAUGACACAAACUGUUUCCGCGUUAUUUCAAAUAUUCUUGUUUAACAACUUCCCAAAACAUCCUACGUAGUACGUUUUUUACGUUGUUUUGAACCGUGUGAGACUAUAUAAGCUAAACUCCGACUGUUGGUCUUCACUCAACGUUCAAACGCAGAGUCCUCCACUUCAAGUAGUAACUAUAGCAACAAAGAUGGAGUCAGUCCGCCAAUAUAUCUACCAGGCCGCUACCUUUGCCAUGGUGGUCAUGCUUCAAGCGGCGUUUGCCCAGUACCAAGAUGACAACAACGGUGGCGAUUUCUUGUACGGUCCAUACCGCUACAUCAACAGAUAUGGUUACUAAGGAUAUGACGAUUGUUAUUGGGCCGGUGACGAAUGGACAUGUGGUAAUGGAUACUAGUCAACAAAUUAGAACCAUCUCAUCUUGUAGUACCAAAUUCCGGACAUCAAUCAGAAAAUACAUGUUGGCAACCAAAUAUUUUGUUGUAUGCAUUCAAAUUGUAUCUCGUGGUCAAUAAACAAUCGUUGCUUCCUAUCA